UACGUAGGUGGCAAGCGUUGUCCGGAUUUACUGGGCGUAAAGGGCGCGCAGGCGGUCGUAUAAGUCGGAUGUGAAAGCCCCCGGCUCAACUGGGGAGGGUCAUUCGAUACUGUUCGACUCGAAGGCAGGAGAGGGAAGUGGAAUUCCGGGUGUAGUGGUGAAAUGCGUAGAUAUCCGGAGGAACACCAGUGGCGAAGGCGACUUUCUGGCCUGUUCUUGACGCUGAGGCGCGAAAGCUAGGGGAGCAAACAGG
rnacentral:rRNA from 1 species